AUUGAACGCUGGCGGCAGGCCUAACACAUGCAAGUCGAGCGGAUGAAGGGAGCUUGCUCCUGGACUCAGCGGCGGACGGGUGAGUAAUGCCUAGGAAUCUGCCUGGCAGUGGGGGAUAACGUCCGGUAACGGGCGCUAAUACCUCAUACGUCCUGCGGGUGCAAGAUGGGGAUAUUCGGACCUCACGCUCUCAGAUGAGCCUAGGUCUGGUUAGCUAGUUGGUGGGGUAAAGGCCUGACAAGGCGACGGUCCGUAACUGGUAUGAGAGGAUGAUCAGUCACACGAGAACUGAGACACGGUCCAGACACCUGCGGGGAGCAGCAGUGGGGAAUAUUGGGCGAUGGGGGAAAGCCUGAUACAGCCAAGCCGCGUGUGUGAAGAAGGUCUUCGGAUUGUAAAGCACUGUAAGUUGGGAGGAAGGGCAGUAAGUUAAUACCUUGAUGUUUUGACGUUACCAAAAGAAUAAGCACCGGCUAACUUCGUG
rnacentral:rRNA from 1 species